GAGGGUAUAGCUCAGUGGUAGAGCACAUGCUUAGCAUGCACAAGGUCCUGGGUUCAAUCCUCAGUACCUCCA
rfam:Camelus ferus unplaced genomic scaffold scaffold463, whole genome shotgun sequence.